CCGCAUCUGGGGCCGCACCGGCUGCUCCUUCGACGGGAGCGGACGCGGGCGGUGCCAGACGGGCGACUGCGGCGGCGUGCUGUCAUGCACGGCGUACGGCAGCCCGCCCAACACCCUGGCGGAGUUCGCGCUCAACCAGUUCAACAACCUCGACUUCUUCGACAUCUCCCUGGUCGACGGCUUCAACGUGCCAAUGGACUUCAGCCCCACGUCAGGCGGCUGCCGCGGCAUCCGGUGCGCGGCGGACAUCAACGGGCAGUGCCCCGGGGCGCUGAAGGCGCCGGGCGGCUGCAACAACCCCUGCACCGUGUUCAAGACGGACCAGUACUGUUGCAACUCCGGCAGCUGCAGCCCGACCGACUACUCCCGGUUCUUCAAGAGAAACUGCCCCGACGCCUACAGCUAUCCCAAGGACGAUCAGACGAGCACCUUCACCUGCCCCGGCGGCACCAACUACAGGGUUGUCUUCUGCCCUUGAGAUCACUGACGCCACUAAUAAGCCGCCCUCGUGCAGGCAACCACGCAUAUAGAUAUAUAUACUAGUCUCCUACAAUACAAAUAAGAUGUCAAGAGUGAUGGAAGGUAUUAGCCUUCUCUUGGGCUAAUACUGUUGACUGAUGUAAUAGAAGUGGUGCAACCAACUAAUAAGAUGCAUAAUAUCAUCACAGCAUGAGUGCUUUUCCAUUGAUGUUUGAAUCAUUUUGUGAGAGCAAUCAGCUUAUGCAAUCAGCAAAAAGAAUAAUUAAACCAUUUCUAUUUAUGUCUUGUUGGCUUAAAACAUGAAUUGAUUUUGAAACAUAAUGAACCCUACAUAUAUAACUUCAUAAAAGAUAUCUCAAGGACCAUACAUUAUACAUACAUAUAUACAUAUAUAUACAUAUAUAUACACAUAUAUAUAUACAUAUAUAUACACAUAUAUAUACAUAUAUAUAUAUAUACAUAUACAUAUAUAUAUAUAUAUNNNNNNNNNNNNNNNNNNNNUAUGUAUAUAUAUAUAUGUAUAUAUAUAUAUAUCAUUUAGGAUGAUGAGUCAUCGCCUAUCCAAUUUGGACCUCUGCCAUUCUCCGUAGAAACUUUGCGUAGCCAUUUUCCAAUACAAUUGCGCGUUGACCAGAGUGCGUCCAUGUGAUCCUCCCCGGUAAGUUUGGUGCCCGAAAUUAUCCGGCAAGUAUGGCUUUAAAUAUUGGAAUUAGUUGCUCUUUGUUUUACGUAGGCCGAUCAAGAUGAACAGAGAGAAUGAUGCUGACUAAUUGAGCCCUGACCAAUCGAGGGCUUCAGGACUCGAGCCCCGACGCGCCCUCGGGAAGCUGCCGCGGGAGGCGGACAUCGAUGGGCAGUGCCCGCAGGUGUUGAGGGCGCCGCGGCGGGUGCACCGCUCGACCGUGUCCAAGGCGGACCGGUACUGCUGCAGCUCCUGCAACUGUGCGUCAAGCGGCUACUUCAGCUUCUUGAGGAGGAACUGCACCGAUGGCUAUAUCUUCCCACAACCUUACGGCCUGGCUUCCACCACUAGUUUCUACGGUAGUCUUCCUCCUCCAAGAGUCGAAUUCAGCUUCCUACAAGAUUAUAAUGAUGGUUUGUAUCAAUUAGUUGUUAAAUUGUAUUUUGGAACCUAAUACAUAUUUUAAAUAUAAAUUCAUAUUUAAAGUUUCUUUAACAUCACAUUUGUCAUGAAUAUAGUGUCAGUAAAUGCUUAAAUUCUGAAACUAUCUUAGAAUAAUUAUAACAUCUCGAGUAAUCUCACAUAAAAAAUGAAUAAGAUUAAAAUUAACUUAUGAUAGUAUAUUACUAUCAAUAUUAAUUUGAAUAUUUUGAUUGCUUGGAUUCAAGAAAAUUGAUAAGUCAAUUAGUUAAUCAAUUGUGACAUUCGAUAUCAAAUUAGUAUUAGGAUAUAGUAUAAUCAAAUUACUAUUAGCGUAUCGUGAGUGAGCUUCGUACUCGUUCAUUGUGAAGUCAUCUUGGGCUAUGUCUUACAUGCCGCGCUAUAUUGAGUCUUUGACAAUGAUUAAUUUUUUUUUUAUAGUUCACACAUAAAAAUAGAUUUUGAACUAUUUAAUUUUAAAAAUCAUAUUAUUUAUUAUAAAAUAUAUUUAUUAAAAUUUAAUUAACUAAUAAAAUUAUUAACUUAUUCACAUAAUUAAGAAAAUCAAUUUUAAUCAUUUUCUUAGCCAUACUAUACAAACAAAAUCACAAUGUAUAUAUUUUUCUUAAAUUUUUAUCUUAAAUGCAUGUUGCUAAUUAUAAUACUUGAUUUAUAUUUAGAUUUAUAUGAUAGUUGAUUAAAAAUAUUAUUUCUUCUCUUAUGUAAUUUUAUCUUUUUAAUAAUCUAUUGUUUAUUAUAUUUUAAUGACUCAAUGCUUGGGAUUAGAUGUUUUUUACUAUAAUUUCAUAAUGCUAUAAUUUAGAAUUGAAGAAAUUGAUUAGGAUUUGGGUUAUAUCUCACACGUACAAUCUUAGAGUUUGAGUUGGGUUUUAAUAAGGAUCAUUUAUUUUUUAUAUAAUAUUUAUUUCCUAUGAUUCACACAUAAAAAUAAAAUUUAAAUUAUUUACUUUCUAAAAAUUGCAUCACUCGUUGAGAAACGAAUCAAUUAAUAAUUUAAUUAAUUUAGUAAUCAUAUUACAUAAAUAAAAUCAUAAUGUGUAGUAUUUUAAAAUUUUUUAUCUUACAUGCAUGAUGCACGAUGAUAAUUAUAAUCCUUGGUUUCUAUUAUAUUUAUAUAGUAAUUUAUUAAAAAUAUUAUUUUCUCACUAAUGUAAUUUUAUUUUAAAAUUUAUUACUAUUUAUUAUGUUUUUAAUGACUCAAUACUAAUGAUCAGAUAUUCUAAUUAGUAGUCAUAUUAGUAAUCAUUAAGAAAUUUAAUUUAAAUUAUUUCAGUAAUAAUAUUACAUAAAUAAAAUCAUAAUGUGUAGUAUUUUUAAAAUUGUUAUCUUACAUGCAUGAUGCAUGAUGAUAAUUAUAAUACUUGGUUUCUAUUAGAUUUAUAUAAUAAUUUAUUAAAAUAUUAUUUUCUCACUUAUGUAAUUUUAGUUUUAAAAUUUAUUACUAUUUAUUAUGUUUUUAGUGACUCAAUACUAAUGAUCAGAUAUUCUAAUUAUAUUUUUUAUAUUUUAAAAUUAAGAGAAUUGAUUAAGAUUUAAGUUGAAAUCAACAAACAAUUAGAGCUAACCCAUAGGCUAGCCACAACUCGUAGAUUAAGCUCAGCAAGCAAGUCAACCCAUAGCCUAUAGGACUCCAAUAUGAUCAGUUAUGUAAUGUACAGACCAAGUCAGAUUUCAUAAACUUAGAUAGAUUCAAGGUAAUUCUAAACUUAUUUAGUCUAUUCAUGUCUAUCUAAUCUAAAUCGAACUCAAUCUAGUCCAAAGUAUACAAGUCUAAGAUGAUUCUAGACUGAUUAAAUGAGAAUUAAAAAUCGAUUUUAUUAUACUAGAGUUAAAUCGAGUUCAAUUGAUUUUAAUUAAACUCGUUUAGAUCGAUUAAGUUCUAGUUAAAUCAGGUUCAAUUAGACCGAUUGAGUUAAGUUAGAUAAAACCUAGGGAUAUGAGUUAUAAAUAAUAUUCAUCAAAUUUCUUCAAUCUAAUUUAUGCUAAAAUAGUUCAAUAAUAAAAAAUAAUAACUGCAAUAAUUAUUGAAUGUUAAUCAGUAUAAUGAAAAAUUCAUAUAAUAACUAUAAUUAUGAUAAGUCAUGAAUUAUAUUUUUAUAUAAUUUUCAAACAUAUUAUAUAAAUAAUCAAAUAAAUAUCCAAGAAAAAUAAUUAGAUUUUUAUUUAUCACAUGCAAAAUUUUAUCAAUAUGACAAAUAAGAAAAUUAUUAAAGAAAAAUCAUAAUUUAUAUUUUUAAAAUUUUGUAUGAACCCUUAUACCAAUCAACCCUAUUUAAUUAGGUAAGCCCAUAAUUGGACUACCUAAAUUGGGCUAACAAUUUGCCUAAUUAGACCCAUUAAGAUUAAAGUUGAUCAAAAUAAAAAAAAGAUCAAAAAUAACUUUUUUUUAAUUUGAUCAAAAACUUAAUUGGUCGAAUUUAAAUCCAACCAAAUAGUUAAAAUAUAGUAAUGAUUAAGCUCGUUUAAAAGAUUUGAUUAAAAUAAAUCAAAUUAAUAAAUUUUAUAAUUGAGGGCAUAUCUCAAAAUAUUUUAAUUCAAAAGGGUAAAACUAUAAUUUUACUGGGAUAUGUAGAGAAAAUAUCUAAUUUCUGAAGAAUAUAAUUAUCAAAAGGACACAAGUUGAAAUUAAAAGACUUUAUAAGAAUAAAUUUAUAAUUUUAAAAAUAAAUCCUAAUCUUUCACCCAGAAAGGCUCUCUCGCAUUUGUCAUUGGUUCCACCAUGCCCACACGCAAAAGUCAACACCGCAGUGUUCGCCCACCACCUGCAUGGACAACGAGGCAGUUGUCCUUAUGCAUUCAAACGAUAACCUCAUCGGUCGUCGCGUUGUGCCAUGCUCAUGAGUGGCUAUUAUCAUCGUGCGCUUGACUAUAACACUUCAAAAACAAUAUGUAUGUCACUGACCGGAAGCUAUCGCGUAGUUACGCACACAUGCCGAUCGAUAACCCCCAGAAUCACUUUGAUGUGUGACUGUGCUCGCUUGUCUUGCUACAUAGUCGUUGGGAACAAUGGCUUUCAGUGUCCAAUCGAUGUUGACCAUGGCCAACAAGCACUACCACAGUGGUAUUACUGUAACCAUUGUACGUAGUGAAGCUAUAUAGCCACUAUAGGUGCAUGCGCACAUAGUGGCACUGUUACAAUCAUCGCACUUAGUAUUAUACCCCAUGGUGCUUCCAUUAGGUACGCAAUUGCUACUCGCGAUUGAACUAAUGACAAUCAAAAGUUGUCGCUCUUAACCAUAUUGUUAUCGACAAUAAGCUAGUCACAGUGAUCCAUUGAUCAAGUACGAGAAAAUUCAUAUCUCCCACAAAUAGGUGAUAAGAUCGAUUAAAUAGAAAAAUAGAUCAAUAAUAUAUAUGAAUCAUUCAUACAUCGUAAAUAAAAAAUUGAAUAACACUUUUUCAUAAGCCAAAGAUGCUAACAAAUAUAUCUAAAAUAAUUUAUUUUACAAACAUGACUCUGAUAUCAAUUGUAAGUAUAAAAACCAUCCUUAUGCUAUUGUUAUGCAGAAAACUUUAACACCAAAAUCUAAAAUCAAAUAAUAAUAGAUAAGAUUCAUGAUACGUACAUUUUGAUGCUAGUUAAAAAAGCUCUUAUAUGAUCUAUAGGUACACCAUCGUUGGAUCUGAAAGUUAUAGUAAUAUCGAUCUAUAAGAAGAAUUAGACUCAUCGUUUUCUCAUUUUCUAUCCUUUAUAGGACCACUACAAUGGAUUUAGAGACUAAGGGGAGAUGAGAGAAGAUUUAUAAUUUCUCACUGACUUAUUCACAAAAAUUUAUAAUUUUUUAAUAAUAUUUUGUAAACACGUAUCGUUUUUAUCUUCUUAUAGUAUUUCUAGGUGAGAAUAGAAAAUCUAUGAUAAGUAAUGAAUAGGGUCUUUCUAAUCAAAAUCUAUCUCUUAACGAAUUUUAUGAUAAUUUAAUUUUUUAUCAAUCUAUAAUCAUAAUUAAAAUUUAAUCAUAUCUAUAAUAUAUCUUAAAUAAAUAAUUAGUGAUAUAUAAUCUGACACCUCUCUCUUCUCUCCCUUAUAAAUUCCCCACCUCUCCACCCCUCGGAUCUGCACAACACAGAGCACGAAGCCUAAGACUCGCCGUUAGAUGGCUUCGUCAAGCAUUCUCUCCCUCUCCUUCUUCUCCCUUCUUGUCACCCUCUCCCAUGCCGCCAACUUCGAGAUCGUGAACCGAUGCUCUUACACAGUGUGGGCCGCGGCCGUGCCCGGCGGCGGACGCCAGCUCAACCAGGGGCAGUCGUGGACCAUCAACGUGAAAGCGGGAACGACCGGCGGCCGCAUCUGGGGCCGCACAGGCUGCUCCUUCGACGGGAGCGGCCACGGGCGGUGCCAGACGGGCGACUGCGGCGGGUUGCUGGCGUGCACGGCGUACGGUAGCCCGCCCAACACCCUGGCGGAGUUCGCGCUCAACCAGUACAGCAACCAAGACUACGUGGACAUCUCCCUGGUCGACGGCUUCAACGUGCCUAUGGACUUCAGCCCCACGUCGGGCGGCUGCCGCGGCAUGCGGUGCACGGCGGACAUCAACAAGAAGUGCCCCACGGCACUGAAGGCGCCGGGCGGCUGCAACAACCCCUGCACCGUGUUCAAGACGGACCAGUACUGCUGCAACUCCGGCAGCUGCCAGCCGACCGAGUACUCCAAGUUCUUCAAGAGCAACUGCCCCGACGCCUACAGCUAUCCGAAGGACGAUCCGACGAGCCUCGUCGCCUGCCCCGGCGGCACCAACUACAGGGUUGUCUUCUGCCCUUGAGAUCAC
rnacentral:lncRNA from 1 species